rnacentral:rRNA from 1 species
UGAGGAAUAUUGGUCAAUGGGCGGAAGCCUGCACCAGCCAUCCCGCGUGAAGGAAGAAGGCCUUAUGGGUUGUAAACUUCUUUUCUGUUUGAAGAAUAAGCUUGUCGUGACAAGUGAUGCCGGUAUGACAGGAAUAAGCAUCGGCUAACUCCGUGCCAGCAGCCGCGGUAAUACGUAGGAUGCAAGCGUUAUCCGGAUUUAUUGGGUUUAAAGGGUGCGCAGGUGGUUUAAUAAGUCAGUGGUGAAAGUCUGCCGCUUAACGGUAGGAUUGACACUGAUACUGUUAGACUUGAAUAUGGAUGAGGUAGGCGGAAUGUGUAGUGUAGCGGUGAAAUGCUUAGAUAGUACACAGAACACCGAUUGCGAAGGCAGCUUACUAAUCCAUGAUUGACGCUGAGGCACGAAAGCGUGGGGAUCAAACAG